UGGGGCUCAUUUCGUUAAGUGAAAACACCUGUUUACCCGCACGCAGCCGCCGGUGCUGCUGUUGCUUCACUGCUGUCUGUACCUGAGCCGCGGCGAGGAACGCGCCGGGCUGGAACCACGCAGAUUCCAUGGAUCUUUCAGGGAGCAGCUCAAAGCUCCACUGCUCGGCCGUGGGACGUCCUACUUGUUUGAGAGGAUUCCAGAUGUGCAUCAAACAUCCUGUUGAUUUAUCGACACUUGUGCCGCGUCUCGGACUAAAGGAAGGGAAACUCACGGGUGCAUCUGUUGUUGCCUUCUGGGUUCCUCAUGCCGAAGUAUCCCACGGGACAGGACGCGAGGCACACGCCUAUCUGACGGAUGUCAUUGCGCUCCAGUUUUAUCUUUGCAUGACACUGAAUUCACUCAGAGAGAGAACACAGGACGCCGCGGGGAGGAAAACGAGACGCUCACCCUCUGUCAUCGGCGCUGCUGCUGCCAGAGGAGUUGCUCAAAGGAACAAAGUCGGAUAUUAAAGAACAGCAAGCCUCCGUGUCUGGAGGGAGAAGUCCUCAAGUGACCUGACAUAGUAGGGAUGUCGGACGAUCGCUGACCCCAAUGCUGUUGUCCUCACUCUGCUGGUCCUGUGUGUGUGUGUGUGUGUGUGUGUGUGUGUGUGUGUGUGUGUGUGUGUGUGUGUGUGUGUGUGUGUGUGUGUGUGUGUGUGUGUGUGUGUGUGUGUGUGUGUGUGUGUGUGUAGGUAUGCUGUGAUAUUAUCCGACGUCUGUGGUUCAAACAACACUUUCUAUCCCAGUAUUGUGUGAUUUUAUUAAAACCACAUCUGUUACUGCA